rnacentral:rRNA from 1 species
GCUAGCUUCGGCCGGCAGAGGAAUUUACACACACUCGAAUGUAAUGAAAUAUAUUGUCGUGCGCAAGCACUAAUGUACAACUUUCAACAACGGAUCUCUUGGCUCUCGCAUCGAUGAAGAACGCAGCGAAAUGCGAUAAGUAAUGUGAAUUGCAGAAUUCAGUGAAUCAUCGAAUCUUUGAACGCACCUUCGCACCCUUUGGCAUUCCGAAGGGUAUGCUCGUUUGAGUGUCAUUGUACUCUCACACUCCCGAUCUUUGGGUCGGGAGCGGUGGACUUGGGUGUUGCUGCUUACCGUGGCUCACCUCAAAUGGAUUAGUGCACCUCUUGGUUGGACAUAGUACGGCGUGAUAAGUGUCUUCGCCGGCACCUCACUAGAGGGUGGCCGAUCGGGAGCUCUGUGCUUCAAACCGUCCUCGGACAACAACUGACAACUUGACCUCAAAUCGAGUAGGACUACCCGCUGAACUUA